UACUCUUAGUCCCCACCUUUCCUCUUGCCUUGCCAGCAUAUGGCUGCUGGAAUGUCUGAGGCAUAACCAAUUGCACUUGUUUUACCAAAAAAAAAAAUUCUUGUGAUAUAAAGAAUACUUUCUGCAGGGUGUGGAGAUCCACCAUCCCAUGGACAACCAAUACAUCACUUCAGUUUGUAAGUUCCUAUUAAAUGUUUAUUCCUUAGACACUGGAUUUGUCAGCCUCUUUCUUUGUCCUGUUGGCUCCCUUGGCCUUUGAGGAUAGGUUUGCAUAGACCUGCUCACCUGCAGAACACCCUCAAACUUAGAAAGGGCCGCUGGACUCACCUCCUGUCCCUCAGAACCAGCUACAUCCACUCCAGUCCUACCUUUGAAUCUGCUCACCCUUUUCCAGUCUCAGUAUUCUUCUAUCUGGAUAGGCCAGGUCUCCUCAGCAGGAAGACCCUCCCCUGACCCCAACGCAUGCACAGGGUAGGAGGAUAGCACGUCCACUGUAUCAUGACACUCCCUCUACAAUUUGGCAGGACUGGCAAUUCCGCCUGCU
rnacentral:lncRNA from 1 species